rnacentral:rRNA from 1 species
UACAGAGGGUGCGAGCGUUGUCCGGAAUCACUGGGCGUAAAGGGCGCGUAGGCGGCUCGGUAAGCGUGCGGUGAAAGCCCGGGGCUCAACCCCGGAUCUGCCGUGCCGACUGUCAAACUCGAGGGCUGUAGAGGCAGACGGAAUUCCGGGUGUAGCGGUGGAAUGCGUAGAGAUCCGGAGGAAGACCGGUGGCGAAGGCGGUCUGCUGGGCAGUUUCUGACACUGAUGCACGACAGCGUGGGGAGCAAACAGG